CACGGGGGUUGCGAGCGUUGUCCGGAAUUACUAGGCGUAAAGCGCGGGCAGGCGGCUGUUCAAGUCGGACGUGAAAGCUCCCGGCUCAACCGGUAGAGGCCGUUCGAAACUGGGCAGCUAGAGGGCAGCAGAGGGGCGUGGAAUUCCGGGUGGAGUGGUGAAAUGCGUAGAGAUCCGGAGGAACACCAGAGGCGAAGGCGGCGCCCUGGGCUGCACCUGACGCUGAGCCGCGAAAGCCAGGGUAGCGAACGGGAUUAGAUACCCCGGUAGUCCCUGAGCGGG
rnacentral:rRNA from 1 species